CCAUUGUGAAUUAUAACGUCUUUAGGACGAUGUCACAGCCCGCUAACCCCAUAGCUCACAUCCUAAACACUUCUUCAUGAUGACGGUGACAGCAGAGUGGGGCGACACUGCAUCCUGCUGGAGCGGAGAUGGCGGCCUCUUCCCAAUAUCAAAGGCCAACAGAACUUCAAAGCAAAGCUUUUUCCUCCAUAUUAUGUGAAAAGGGGAAAAAUCGCCAAAAUUGUUUGUAGAGGCAGGUUGAUUUUAACUUUUAUCUGGUCUAACAUGUUAACAUCAAAAUCAUGAACUCGCUUUGACAAACAUGACUUUAUUGAUAAAGCAGAAAGUACAUCCAACAAUGUUACAAAAAUCAUCAAAAUUAAAGCUCAAACUUGCUGAAAUAUUCUCAGGAUGAAACAAACAAACAAAAAAAAAA